UGCAGAUGAUGAUCCCUUUUUGCUCUGAAAAAAAAGUGAUGACAGCCACCAAGAUCGCUGAUGCA
ensembl:snoRNA SNORD24 Small nucleolar RNA SNORD24